CCUGGCAAUCUAUUUAAUCACAACUUUAAACUUUUAAUCCAUUAAUAUAAAAACUGUACUAAUUAUAGUUAAAAUACCAGUAAGGCAUUUGUCAUGUAAUUUCAUUAUUUGGUUUCGAGGGAUAAAAGAUAUUCUGGAUUCCUAUUUGACCUUUUCGGCCUUUGUGCUAAAUUUGUACCACCAGCCUUGAUGGUCUCUCCCUUUCUUUAUCAUUUCUAUUCUUGCUACUUAAUUAUCAAAAAUGGGUGCACCAACAGACUCAACCCUCGAUCUCGAUGAACAGAUCUCACAGCUGAUUCAAUGUAAGCCACUUUCAGAGCAGCAGGUACUUUUUUUUUUUCACGAUCUGUUUGUUUCUCAAGAAAGUAUGGAAAUUUUGAACACUUAAUUUAAUUGUAUAAUUAUUUUAAUAGAUUAGGCGAUAUUUGGCUGCGAAAUGAAUACCAAAACGAUUUUGAAUUGAAUUUGUUUUAAGAUAUUAUUCCAAUAGCAUUAGUUUCUACCGCCGUGCAUGUGAACUUUUAGUUAUAAUUAAUGAAAAAAAUCAGCUUUUUUCUCUCUUCCAUUUAAAACAUUUAUAUAUUCUUUUGAUUGAUUUGAUGUAGUUGAUUUCAAAAGAACUUGGUGUAUUUGCAAGACUUUUCUACGUUUUACUUGUAUUGUUUUGUUCUCAGGUUGAUCAAUAGAAGUCCUCGUUUUUCUUCCCUGUUUCAUCUGGGUUAUAAUUGGUUGUAACUCUGUUUUCAUGUUAUCUUGUUUAGGUCAGAGCAUUAUGCGACAAGGCAUAAAAUAUGCAUCUCAAAGACUAGAUACAUUUGCAUGUGUUAGGCAAAAUGGUUGAACAAGCAAUUGAGCAAAUUAUGGCCUUUUGUUGCAGAGGUGCAUACUUUGGCUUUCUGUUCCGGUGUUUUGGAUUCUCUGGCAGUUGAAUUGAAAGCAUCAAAGGACUUCUCUAAGUUAUAUGGAGGCAUUGCAAUACUUUGGCUUCACAUAAGCUUGAACCAGCCUUCUGUUGUAUAUUGUUUUUCUUCUUUUUUGAUCCUUUUCCUUUGAUUAAUGAGAGGUGAUGAUAAUUGGCAUUCUUUUUUCACGAGGAUGAAUUUUGUUUUAGAAAUUAUAAUACUAUGUGUU